rnacentral:rRNA from 1 species
AAAUGAAUUGACGGGGGCCCGCACAAGCGGAGGAACAUGUGGUUUAAUUCGAUGAUACGCGAGGAACCUUACCCGGGCUUGAAAUGCAGAGGAAUGAGGAGGAAACUUCUCCGCCAGCAAUGGUCUCUGUGUAGGUGCUGCAUGGUUGUCGUCAGCUCGUGCCGUGAGGUGUCGGCUUAAGUGCCAUAACGAGCGCAACCCUUAUCAUUAGUUACUAACAGGUCACGCUGAGGACUCUAAUGAGACUGCCGCCGUAAGGUGUGAGGAAGGUGGGGAUGACGUCAAAUCAGCACGGCCCUUACGUCCGGGGCGACACACGUGUUACAAUGGGGAGUACAGAGGGUUGCUACCGCGCGAGCGGAUGCUAAUCUCAUAAAUCUUCUCUCAGUUCGGAUCGGAGUCUGCAACUCGACUCCGUGAAGCUGGAUUCGCUAGUAAUCGCGCAUCAGCCAUGGCGCGGUGAAUACGUUCCCGGGCCUUGUACACACCGCCCGU